rnacentral:tRNA from 1 species
GCGAGCUCGGAACGACCGGCCGCCCUUUGAGAGCAACGGCCUCCUAAGCCGUUGGUUGCGGGUUCGAAUCCCGUCGGGCGUACCA